rnacentral:rRNA from 1 species
AGAGUUUGAUCAUGGCUCAGAACGAACGCUGGCGGCAGGCUUAACACAUGCAAGUCGAACGAGGCCUUCGGGCCGAGUGGCGCACGGGUGAGUAACGCGUGGGAACCUGGCCUUUGGUGGGGGAUAACUGCGGGAAACUGCAGCUAAUACCGCAUACGCCCUGGGGGAGACCUUGGGGGAAAGAUUCAUCGCCGAGGGAUGGGCCCGCGUCCGAUUAGGUAGUUGGUGGGGUAAAGGCCCACCAAGCCGACGAUCGGUAGCUGGUCUGAGAGGAUGAUCAGCCACACUGGGACUGAGACACGGCCCAGACUCCUACGGGAGGCAGCAGUGGGGAAUAUUGGACAAUGGGGGCAACCCUGAUCCAGCCAUGCCGCGUGUGUGAUGAAGGCCUUAGGGUUGUAAAGCACUUUCGCCGGGGACGAUGAUGACGGUACCCGGAGAAGAAGCCCCGGCUAACUCCGUGCCAGCAGCCGCGGUAAUACGGAGGGGGCAAGCGUUGUUCGGAAUUACUGGGCGUAAAGGGCGCGUAGGCGGCCUGUUGCGUCAGGUGUGAAAGCCCCGGGCUCAACCUGGGAUGUGCACUUGAUACGGGCGGGCUGGAAUCCGGGAGAGGAUGGUGGAAUUCCCAGUGUAGAGGUGAAAUUCGUAGAUAUUGGGAAGAACACCGAUGGCGAAGGCAGCCAUCUGGACCGGUAUUGAC